rnacentral:rRNA from 1 species
GACAGAGGGUGCAAACGUUGUUCGGAAUUACUGGGCGUAAAGCGCGUGUAGGCGGUGCGGUAAGUCGGGUGUGAAAGCCCUGGGCUCAACCCAGGAAGUGCAUUCGAUACUACCGUACUAGAGUCCCGGAGAGGUUGGUGGAACUCUCGGUGUAGAGGUGAAAUUCGUAGAUAUCGAGAAGAACACCGGUGGCGAAGGCGGCCAACUGGACGGUGACUGACGCUGAGACGCGAAAGCGUGGGGAGCGAACCGG